rnacentral:rRNA from 1 species
UAGUGAUUAACGCGAAGAACCUUACCUGGGCUAGAAUGCCUCUGACAGCCGUAGAGAUACGGAUUCCUGGGUAAAACCAGGCAGAGUGCAAGGUGCUGCAUGGCUGUCGUCAGCUCGUGUCGUGAGAUGUUGGGUUAAGUCCCGCAACGAGCGCAACCCUUAUCAAUAGUUGCUAGCGGUUCGGCCGGGCACUCUAUUGAGACUGCCGUUGACAAAACGGAGGAAGGUGGGGAUGACGUCAAGUCCUCAUGGCCUUUAUGUCCAGGGCUACACACGUGCUACAAUGGCGAGUACAAAGCGCUGCAAACCUGCAAGGGGGAGCCAAUCGCAAAAAGCUCGUCUCAGUUCGGAUUGGAGUCUGCAACUCGACUCCAUGAAGCUGGAAUCGCUAGUAAUCGCAGAUCAGAACGCUGCGGUGAAUACGUUCCCGGGCCUUGUCACACCGAAUCGAAUUC